rnacentral:rRNA from 1 species
CCUACGGGUGGCAGCAGUGGGGGAUAUUGCACAAUGGGGGAAAGCCUGAUGCAGCGACGCCGCGUGUGGGAAGACGGUCCUCUGGAUUGUAAACCACUGUCCCCAGGGACGAAGAUGACGGUACCUGGGGAGGAAGCUCCGGCUAACUACGUGCCAACAGCCGCGGUAAUACGCAGGGAGCGAGCGUUGUCCGGAAGUACUGGGUGUACAGAGAGCGUAGGCGGGGAUGCAAGUUGGGUGUCAAAACUACGGGCUCAACUGGGAGUCGCACUCGAAACUCCAGCGCUUGAGUGAAGUAGAGGCAGGCGGAAUUCCUAGUGUAGCGGUGAAAUGCGUAGAUAUUAGGAGGAACACCAGUGGCGAAGGCGGCCUGCUGGGCUUUUACUGACGCUGAGGCUCGAAAGUGUGGGGAGCAAACAGGAUUAGAUACCCGUGUAGUC